CACCGUUUCAGUGGCAUUUAAAUCCCCGGCGCUCCUCCGUCAAGGUGACGCGCAGUCGCCCCCCCAGGCAACCCAGGCGGCAGCUGCAGCUGCGGCGGCGGCGGAGGCUGAUUCGGGGCUCUGAG
rnacentral:lncRNA from 1 species